rnacentral:rRNA from 1 species
UACGGAGGAUCCAAGCGUUAUCCGGAUUUAUUGGGUUUAAAGGGUGCGUAGGCGGCUUUUUAAGUCAGGGGUGAAAGACGGUAGCUCAACUAUCGCAGUGCCCUUGAUACUGAAGAGCUUGAAUGUACUUGAGGUAGGCGGAAUGUGACAAGUAGCGGUGAAAUGCAUAGAUAUGUCACAGAACACCAAUUGCGAAGGCAGCUUACUAAAGUAUGAUUGACGCUGAGGCACGAAAGCGUGGAGAUCAAACAGG